GGAAGUAAAAACAAGGUUUCCGUAGGUGAACCUGCGGAAGGAUCAUUAUUGUAUAACCGAGGUGCGAGGGCUGUCGCUGACCCGAAAGGUCGUGCACGCCCGAGUGCCCUCACACACAUCCAUCUCACCCCUAUGUGCACCACCGCGUGGGUCCCCCUUUGGCUUGUUCGGAGGGGGGCUUACGUUUUCACACAAACUUUGUAUGCAGUGUAGAAUGUAUUUUUUGUUUUUGCGAUCACGCAAUCAAUACAACUUUCAACAACGGAUCUCUUGGCUCUC
rnacentral:misc_RNA from 1 species